UCCAGCUUUUCUCCCUUUCCCCUCGCAGCCACCACACAUUAACCCUAUCCCCACCCACGCUUUCUUUCCGGCGAUGGCGCCGCCGUUCUCUUCUCCGCGCACCGCCGUCUGCUCCGCGGCCGCUCCAUCUCCUCCUCACCUGCCUCACCUUAUCCCUUCCUCCUCCCACUCUCUCUGCCUUUCUGUGCUCCCGUGCUCCUAGUGUAGUGCCUCUUCCCGGCUCCCGCACCCAGAUGCGACCGCCUAGGGUUCGCUGCAGACGGAGAUGGCUACCACGGAGGUCGCCCCCUUCAGAUCUAGCGGCCCAGUGCUCUACCAGGUGCGGUAGUCAAGGAGGACGCAGCGCCGUCACCAGGCUGGUGCUGGGUGCGCUCUGGCCUUCCUUCCAGCUGGUGUGUACCUUGCUCUUGGGGUAGCGCCGAGCGAUGGCAGGGACUACAAGAUGCAGCAGAAGCGGCGCAUGGCCAAGGAUCUAGGCCUCCGACCAUUAGCGGUUGUUGUUGUGGCAGAAGCGACGGUACAGAGUUCGCGCCUCCGCCCUGUUCAGCCUUGCCUCCAUCAACUCUGAAAUCCCCGGAUCCUUCCUCCAGGCAGCGGCGCAAUUUGUUGGCUUGCUCAUCAGUUGUGAUACCCCAUGGCCCCUGUCCGCACCUGCUGACAAAAAGUGGACGGGGGGCUUCCAUGCCACAUCCAUGGCUAUUGCUGGAAGUUGAGCUGUCUUCAUGUCCCAAAAUGCUAGUUUUAUAGAUUAUGAAGCAACCAUAAGGACUGGACUCAGAAAGAACCAUGAAGCCAACGGUCCAUGCCAACUAGAUGUUUGAGCUUUCAUUUUGUACAACUGAUGCAUCAUACUUGCAUCUUUUAUCUGUCCUUUUGUGAACAUGAUGUAUGGUGUCUUGGUGGUUAUAUUUAGAACAGACUGAAGUGUAUGUAUGUGACAAUUAGUUAAUGGAAUAAAAAAAUGUUUGGUGCA